UGUUUCUUUCCCUGUCCAUUGAUGUGAAAUAGUUAUACUUACAUGUGAACGUGACAAACAACAGUCCUUGGUCUGACACUGAGUUUGUGGGGAACAAUUACGAGAAACUCUUAUGAGCCAAGACAGGUGGUUAAAUAUUCAAGCAACCUGACCCUUGAGAUACCUCAAAGAAAAGCAAGCCCAGCAGCUAAAGAUAUCUCCAGGUUGCCAUGGUGCCAGCGGUGCCGGUACAGCCAGUGAGGAAGGCUUACUAAAUAAGGCAUUGGCAUGGCCAACAAGGAGCUAUGGAGGAAGCUGAUGGCCUGUCUGCCACUAUGAGAGGAAUGCACCAACCAGAGCACAUAUUGGGUUUCUGUUUUGGUGCUUUCUCCAGCACUGCUCCAUUCCCUCCUACGCUGUGUGCGUGUAUAUAUACUAGGACAAAAAAAGUUUUCCAGUUUCAUACCACUGCAUUGUACUUAAAUAAAAGUAAGCUACAUUCAAUGAUGUUACAGUUACACAAUUCAUUUUGUAUUGAAAAUCUCCUGUUAUUUAUUACUGACAACUGAUGCCUCAAUUACAUCCAGUGUUGGAUUUCACUUUGAAA